rnacentral:rRNA from 1 species
AUUGAACGCUGGCGGCAGGCCUAACACAUGCAAGUCGAACGGUAACAGGGAUCAGCUUGCUGAUUCGCUGCCGAGCGGCGGACGGGUGAGUAAUGUCUGGGAAACUGCCUGAUGGAGGGGGAUAACUACUGGAAACGGUAGCUAAUACCGCAUAACGUCGCAAGACCAAAGAGGGGGACCUUCGGGCCUCUUGCCAUCGGAUGUGCCCAGAUGGGAUUAGCUAGUAGGUGGGGUAACGGCUCACCUAGGCGACGAUCCCUAGCUGGUCUGAGAGGAUGACCAGCCACACUGGAACUGAGACACGGUCCAGACUCCUACGGGAGGCAGCAGUGGGGAAUAUUGCACAAUGGGCGCAAGCCUGAUGCAGCCAUGCCGCGUGUAUGAAGAAGGCCUUCGGGUUGUAAAGUACUUUCAGCGGGGAGGAAGGGAGUAAAGUUAAUACCUUUGCUCAUUGACGUUACCCGCAGAAGAAGCACCGGCUAACUCCGUG